GAGAGGGUCAUUUUCAGAGCAAACACAGAGAGCCUUUCCCUAAGAAAGGGAAUGAAUGGUAGACAGGCAGAAAUCACACGUGCCCCCUGAGUGCAGCCAUGCCAGGCAUGGCCAGCAAGCGCUCCCAUGGAGAAAAACUAUUUCUACAGGUAACAGCCCUCCACAGGGGUGUUGGGGCUCCACUUUCCAACCUCUUUCUUCCUUGGGAGCAAAAACUCUGUGGCUGCCAGGACCUGCCUCUCUGAAAACCCCCGUAAAGCUUCAAAGGGGCCUGUCCACCUCGCCAGCUUUGAUCUCAGGAGGAAACUUGCUCAGACACAUGAUCCAAAGGAAUGUGUACAAUUCCAGGUAUGCACAGGCACCUCCCUGGGCAGAAAGCAAGGCGCUUUCAUCACAGGCUGCGGGAGUCACCAACUGAAGAGACUCAAUGUCCUUGAAAGCACUUUUCUUUUUAUUAUGUUCAAAAUUCAGCAACGAAAACUGCUCGUCUUGCUUCUACGGAAGCUGUAAGGACGAGAAAGUGGAGCGCUGUCGCGGAAAGAGGCAGAAAUUUGGUGACACAAGAGCGAUCUCAGGACAGGGUGGAGCCAGGGAUCAGGACUGUGGUGCCCAGUCCCAGCUCAGCUAAGCCAAUGUGCGUCUUUGGGUCGUUUAGAUUAAGUGCUGAGAGGUGUAGCUCUUCCUAUACCUGGUAAAUGCUGACCCCCUGAACCCAAUCCCGAAGCCCCCAUCCACAUGCUAUGGGGACCACAUUGGGAGCCUGUGGUAU
rnacentral:lncRNA from 1 species